rnacentral:lncRNA from 1 species
AAGUUCUACAGCAACAGAGACAACAAAUUCUCCAAAAUGACCAGCAACAAGCACCAAAACCGCAAGAUCCUCAACCGGAGUCAGAGUCACGUCCACAACCAACUAUAGAACAACAGAAACAAUCACUACAACAAGCCAACAAUAACAAGAGGAAGACCAUGGAACAGGGGCUUUCACCUGAGACUGACAGAACAGUAACAAAAGGAAGACCACGCAACCACCGUUGCAGCUCCGUCUACCAAUGGUUCCGCGACUACGAUUCUGAAGGCUAGUCAGUGCGAGGAAGAGACGAACCAGUGUGCGAGGAAGAAAGCGAGAAAGGAAUGAAAGGGAUUUUAGGGUUCAGGAAUCUUUUAGAGGAAAUAAGGGUGUAGUGUGAUUUUGAGAAGGAGAUGAGUUUCGGGAUUCAGAACANUGAGACAGAAACNUAAAAAAUUAGGAAAUAAAGGAAAAAAAAUAUUAUUAUUCUUGAAGAAUCAUUAAAACUCCUUUGAAAUAGAGGGGGUUAUAAACCUCCUUUGAAAAUCAUUAAAACUCCNCAGCACUCAGGCAGAAACAAGUGAAUCAAAGAAGAAAAUUGUUUUAGCAUAUUUGAAACUUCACGUGGUCUUUUUGUUAACAGCAUGGGAAGAACUGUGGUCAAUAGCC